rnacentral:miRNA from 9 species
AAAUUCGUUUUUGCGGGUGAU